AUUGAACGCUGGCGGCAUGCCUUACACAUGCAAGUCGAACGGUAACGGGCCUUCGGGUGCCGACGAGUGGCGAACGGGUGAGUAAUGCAUCGGAACGUACCUUUCAGUGGGGGAUAACGUAGCGAAAGUUACGCUAAUACCGCAUAUUCUGUGAGCAGGAAAGCAGGGGAUCGCAAGACCUUGCGCUGAUUGAGCGGCCGAUGUCAGAUUAGCUAGUUGGUGAGGUAAAGGCUCACCAAGGCGACGAUCUGUAGCGGGUCUGAGAGGAUGAUCCGCCACACUGGGACUGAGACACGGCCCAGACUCCUACGGGAGGCAGCAGGGGGGAAUUUGGGACAAUGGGCGCAAGCCUGAUCCAGCAAUGCCGCGCGCAGGAUGAAGGCCUUCGGGUUGUAAACUGCUUUUGUACGGAACGAAAAGCCCUGGGUUAAUACCCUGGGGUCAUGACGGUACCGUAAGAAUAAGCACCGGCUAACUACGUGCCAGCCGCCGCCGUAAUAC
rnacentral:rRNA from 1 species